AGUGAACGCUGGCGGUAGGCCUAACACAUGCAAGUCGAACGGCAGCACAGUAAGAGCUUGCUCUUACGGGUGGCGAGUGGCGGACGGGUGAGGAAUACAUCGGAAUCUACUUUUUCGUGGGGGAUAACGUAGGGAAACUUACGCUAAUACCGCAUACUACCUACGGGUGAAAGCAGGGGAUCUUCGGACCUUGCGCGAUUGAAUGAGCCGAUGUCGGAUUAGCUAGUUGGCGGGGUAAAGGCCCACCAAGGCGACGAUCCGUAGCUGGUCUGAGAGGAUGAUCAGCCACACUGGAACUGAGACACGGUCCAGACUCCUACGGGAGGCAGCAGUGGGGAAUAUUGGACAAUGGGCGCAAGCCUGAUCCAGCCAUACCCCGUGGGUGAAGAAGGCCUUCGGGUUGUAAAGCCCUUUUGUUGGGAAAGAAAAGCAGCAGGUUAAUACCCCGCUGUUCUGACGGUACCCAAAGAAUAAGCACCGGCUAACUUCGUG
rnacentral:rRNA from 1 species